rnacentral:rRNA from 1 species
AUACGGAGGGUGCAAGCGUUACUCGGAAUCACUGGGCGUAAAGCGCGCGCAGGCGGUCUUUUAAGUUGGAUGUGAAAGCCUACGGCUCAACCGUAGAACUGCAUCCAAAACUAUUAGACUAGAGUGUGAGAGAGGAAGAUGGAAUUAGUUGUGUAGGGGUAAAAUCCGUAGAGAUAACUAGGAAUACCAAAAGCGAAGGCAAUCUUCUGGAACACUACUGACGCUGAGGCGCGAAAGCGUGGGGAGCGAACAGGAUUAGAAACCCUUGUAGUCC